CUUGGCGUCCUCGAGGAUUUCCGCGUAUAUCGUCGCGUAGCUGCGGUCCGGCACCAUGGCGAUGCAGUCUUGGAGCUGGUCGUCCUUGUUCCACAUCCUGCCGCCGUCGCGAACGAUGUUGGGCAUCGAGGCAUCGACAAUGACGUUGUUGGGGACGUGCAGGU
rnacentral:rRNA from 1 species